GGGAUUAAUACUUGGAAGUUUAGCCUGCACGGCAGUUUUUUUCAUGGCAUCGUACGAAAACUAUCCUAGUGGUUAUGCUCUAAAAGCUCUUCAUAGGAUAGGUGGUGUGACAAAGAAUUCAGAUGAACUCAGGGUUCAUAUUGACACUUUUUCAGCGAUGAAUGGGAUAUCCCGAUUUUGUGAAUAUAAUUAUCCAUGGAGGUACUCUAAA
rnacentral:misc_RNA from 1 species